rnacentral:lncRNA from 1 species
UCUGAAAUCGAUGUUAACAGUCUUUUCUACUAGCUAUGCUAAACAAAAAGAAGGAAUUAAUAUCAGUCCAAGAGAGGGUAAUCGGCAACCCUUAGAACGCUCAAGUAUCUCCAAGAAAAGGGGUAGUCCACUCUCUGCCUCAAAGAACUAAGCUCUGAUAUUAUGAUUGAGAAAAUAUCAGUUUAGAGGAAGGUAAUCCGCAACCCCUAAAGCACUAGAAUACCUUCAAGAAGAGGGGUAAUCCGCUCUCAAACAAGAAGGAUUCAGCUCUGAUAUUAAGAUAAAGGUAGUCUCGACAAACUGUCACGGACACAAAAUACAGACUUGAAAUCUAACAAGAAG